CGGUGGACAGAAAGGCAAGAGACAGAGUUCCUGCCCUGGGGUGCAUCUGUGGGGGAAGCUGCGUGACCACAGUGUUGGAAAAUGGAAUCAGGCUACACGUGCUCUUGUGGGAAUCCCACGGCAGCGUCCCCAUGAGGAGGCAGGGGCCCACCAUCACCGGCUGCACCUCUGACCUUCGAUGACCUUGGGGGCCAGGUGUCACGGUCACCCUGCACACGUGGGUUCCCUCAGCUGCUCUCAGGAACAAGAGAAUGAACCUGUCACCUCCUCUCCCGCUUGAAGGACAGCACCAUUUAUUGUUUACUGUGGGCUGAGACAGCUGGGGAUUCCUCACUGCGAUGGAGCCGACAUGCAAUAUUGAGGCAAAGAUGGCAGGGAGGUGGGGGGCAGCGCAGAGGAGAAGAGGAGAGAGCCCUCCCACAGCAGGCCUCCCUCUGGGCAGGCUGAGCUUUGCCACUAGCAAGCCCCGCCGGUGCCGGGGAAGGGGAGAAGACACAGGACCUGGAGGGAGGCCUUGGUGAAUUGAGCCUUGGCUUUGCUGGGUGACCCAGGCUUGGUCCCUGGAUGCCUCUGAGCUGUUGCUGGAACGUGACCUCCCACCUCCCACGAUAGAAGAAAAGUGGUCUGGACAAAGGAGGCUGCAAUGGACUGAAUGUUGUAUUCCUCCCCAGUUCACAGGCUGAACCCCUAAUCCCAAGGUGAUGGGAUUUGGAGGCAGGACCUUUGGGAGGAAUUAGGUCAUGAGGGUGGAGCCCUUGUGAUGAGAUUAGUGCCCUGGUAAGAAGAGGCCAGAGAGCUGGCUAGCUCUUUUUCUGCCACGUGAAGAUAACGAGAAGGCAGCCACCUGUAAACUAGGAAGACAGCCCUCACCAGAACCUGACCUUGCUGGAACCUUGAUGUUGGACUUUCAAACCCCAGAGCUAUGAGAAAUAAAUGUCUG
rnacentral:lncRNA from 10 species